GAUAAAUUGCCUGAUUAAAGGGUUAAUUUGAUAGAUUAAAUUAUGUUAGAUUUAUA
rnacentral:tRNA from 1 species